CAGAGUCUCACUCUGUCACCCAGGCUGGAGUGCUAUGGCAUGAUCUCAGCUCACUGCAACCUCCACCUCCCGGGUUGAAGUGAUUCUCCUGCCUUGGCCUCCCGAGUAGCUGGGAUUACAGGCACGUGCCACCAUGCCCAGCUAAUUUUUGUAUUUUCGCUAGAAAUGGGGUUUCACCGUGUUAGCCAGGCUGGUCUCAAACUCCCGACCUCAGGUGAUCCACCUUCCUCGGCCUCCCAAAGUGCGGGGAUUACAGGCGUGAGCCACCACCCCCAGCCUGGUGCCUUCUACUGGUGGUCUUAUUCCCCAGCACAGCGCCUGUUGCAUGAAGGGAUGAAUUAUAGCCCCUGGGACAAGGAGGAGACUAGAGAAAUGAGAAAUGUCAGUGUUCUCUCAGCAUCUGGGAUGAUAGGGAAAUGAAGGUAGCACAGGGGUUUUUUGCUGCUUCUAGGAAUGGCAGGCUUUUCUUUCAAGAAAACCAAACUGCUUUUCCUAAGGGAGGUAGGAUGUGGGUAAGCACUUUGCCCUCUUGUCCUCACCCUGUGACACCAGGAAACAGAUCUGUCUUGACGUUGGGAACUGUCAUGGGCAUGGAAAACCCACGUUUGGUUCCUUUUUUGUUGGCAAAAGGGCUUGAUAGGGGAUUGGCAAGGGAAAGAGCCCAGCGCUGACCUCUCCUUCUUUUUUUUUUUUUUUUUUUUUGAGACAGAGUUUCGCUCUUGUUGCCCAGGCUGGAGUUCAGUGGCGCAAUCUCAGCUCACCACAACCUCCACCUCCCGGGUUCAAGCGAUUCUCCUGCCUCAGCCUCCCGAGUAGCUGGGAUUACACGCCCGGCUAAUUUUGUAUUUUUAGUAGAGAGGGAGUUUCUACUAAAACCCAGAGGACGUCAGACCCAAAUCCAGAAGUUCUUCAGUUUCUGCCAAAGUGUGAGGGAAAUCAACAUCUGCUCCCCUUCUCCAUUUCUCAGAAAAAGGUGCUGUCCCACAGGAGUCCCCUAGAAAUGGCUGGAGGCUUUUCUUUUCUUUUUUUUUUUUUUUUCUGUUUCUUUUUUUUGUGAGACAGAGUCUUGCUCUGUCCUCACCUUGGGUGAGGACAAGAGGGCAAAGUGCUUACCCACAACCUACCUCCCUUAGGAAAAGCAGUUUGGUUUUCUUGAAAGAAAAGGCUGCCAUUCCUAGAAGAAGCAAAACCCCCUGUGCUACCUUCAUUUCCCUAUCAUCCCAGAUGCUGAGAGAACACUGACGCUUCUUAUUUCUCUAGUCUCCUUCUUGUCCCAGGGGCUAGAAUUUAUCCCUUCAUGCAUCCUGGUGAGCCACUGCGCCCAGCCUGACCUCUCCUUUAGAAGAGAGUGGUAACUAGAUGAGGGAGGGAAAGUUGGGAAAGACCUAGCUCUGUUCGUGCCAGGCCAGCAACUGCAGAGAGGGGUUUUGGGGUGAGAAGGCUGUCCUUGAUGACGAAGGGAUGCCUUGACACCUGUUUUGAUGGGGUGGGGGGUUCUCCGCAACCCCUAUUUUGCCUCUAAAUUUUUUAAGAAGGAUACUGGGUGUUCACCAGUGUGUUUUUAUUCUUUUUUAAAUGGAAUUCAUUAAUUUGACCACAGGGGAAGGGUUGAUGCUGUGUACAAGUAUAUCUUGCACAGAGGAAGAAAGAACUAAAAGGUUUUAAAGUGGUUUUAAAGGGGCACAAUUCCAAACUCAAACUGGAAUUGAGCUGUGUGCAACUUUGGCACAAUGAGCACUGCUGCUCAGCUGUGAAAGGAGUUUUUGAAAUGUGAAAUAGGAAAAGAUAACUGAGAAAAAAGACUGUUGAUCCUAAGGAGACUGUUUUCUCGGAUUUUUAAUCUUUCUUUGCCUUCACUGGUUUGGAACCGCCUUCACUGUGAAUCUCUCCUGGGCAAACAGAAUGUGAAUUGUUGCCUUCACACAGCCCCACAAACUAGAGGACAUUUUACAGGGCUAGUGUCACCCUCCCCAGUGAAUUCUUGGAGCCACACAGUCUUGGUGCAUAGCAUGGUCUUCGGGUCUCAGUUCCCUUCCUAAUCCUUAGUGUUGUGGUUUUUAAGUGGAAUCAGCAUCCCAGACUAAAAAGCAACAUUUAUAGCUCCUUGAACAAGCCACCAGGGAGGCACAAAUACCUCCCUGCUGUCUAUAAUACACCCUUACAAAUCACAAGCUGGCUGUGUGAUUGUCACCCUGUUUGACCUGGGGUAAGAGGGCACAAAGGAGGAAGCAGAAGGGGAAAUUAAGUCUGAACUAAACAAUGCCAUAAUACAAAGAAAUUCCAGACUGCUUUUUUAUGCUCUCAACUUCCAGAGGGAUCUAAGACCCUGUUAAGUGAAAACUCAGGAAAUGUUGACUACAUCUUUUGCAAAAGGCUGAAAGACAGAAGACAGAGUGAGGUUGCAGGACCCAAGGAUUGAUCCCUGGUCUUCAGCACCUUUUAACUGAAAUGGGGAGGACCCAGCCAGACAGGACCUAAUAGGUUACUUGGAUAUUUCAGAUAAUUUGUCCUGGGGUUGUUGCCUCUUCUCAGCGCCCGGUUUAGAGAACAUAUGUCUCAAGCCAUAACAGUCCAAAGGGGACAUUACAUCCUCAAGUCUUCCAUUUUCAAGUGCCUCGUCAUGAGUUGGAGAAACCUGGCCCAACACUUUGCUGACUCCUGACCACAUUCCAGGCUUUGCUGCUAGCAUAGCAGGGAAUUGCUCUUCAGUGAGAUCAAAAGCCUUGUUACAGGGAGGAGUUUCACAAGGGGAACCUAACUCUGUGGAUGCCCCAGCUCUCUUUUUUGGUUGUGAAUGUUCUCUACUUAAUGUAAUACUUGGUUAAUAUACUUUUUUAAUUGAGAGAUAGCACACAUGCAAUAAAAUGUAUAAAGUGCACUAAUUUUAAGUGUGUAUUUUGAUUUUUAAAAAUGUGUAUAUUGGCCUAUGAAGCCAUCACUCAGAUCAAGAUAGAAAAUAUUUCAGGCACCCCAUGUUCUUUCCUUGUCUGUAUUCCAUCAAAGGUAUUCUAGGCCAGGUAUGGUGGUUCACACCUAUAAUCCCAGCACUUUGGGAGGCUGAGGUGAG
rnacentral:lncRNA from 1 species